rnacentral:rRNA from 1 species
AUACGGAGGAUCCGAGCGUUAUCCGGAUUUAUUGGGUUUAAAGGGUGCGCAGGCGGCCAUUUAAGUCAGCGGUUAAAUCGUGGGGCUCAACCCCAUUCUGCCGUUGAUACUGGGUGGCUUGAUUGCGGUCGAGGUUGGCGGAAUUCGUUGUGUAGCGGUGAAAUGCAUAGAUAUGACGAAGAACACCGAUUGCGUAGGCAGCUGACCAGACCGCAAAUGACGCUCAUGCACGAAAGUGUGGGUAUCAAACAGGAUUAGAUACCCUGGUAGUCCACACAGUAAACGAUGAAUACUCGCUGUUUGCGAUAUACAGUAAGCGGCCAAGCGAAAGCAUUAAGUAUUCCACCUGGGGAGUACGCCGGCAACGGUGAAACUCAAAUGAAUUGGCGGG